UGUGUGUGCACAUUGAGCGGAUUUUGAUGCGUCCGAGAUGGUGUUGGAUGAAAAGGUAACACUACUGGAUGAAAAAUGUACAAAUUCCUGCCGCCAAGCAAGGUGGUUGUAUGUGGCGCCGAAAGUAGCCUGUGACAUGCCUCAAUGCACCAACGCGUUGCAGACGCCAAUGUAAUUCCUGAUGAAGUUUAUGAAAAGGUAUAUUAACCCCUAUAUUUAUAUAAUUGCGCCUAGAUACGCGGAUAUUUUAGAUCUUUUCGUUCUUCAACAAAAUUAAAUAUGAAACAGUAAAAAACACACAAAGACCUCUGGACAGUCUGUGUA